GGCGGGGUACAUACCACCCUGAGCACGCCCGACCUCGUCUGAUCUCGGAAGCUAAGCAGGACUGGGCUUGGUUAGUACUUGGAUGGGAGACUGCCUGGGAAUACCAUUUGGGAAGCCAGUAU
ensembl:rRNA 5S_rRNA 5S ribosomal RNA